AAGAGGCGAUUGGAGGAUUGGUGGAAGAAAAGUAGGGAAACGACAAAAGACGGAGACGUACAAAAGCACAGUUCGCAAUAGGGUAUCAGAAAAUUUGGACGUGGUAGUUCAUAGUGGGGUUUUUUUGUUUUCUCAUUGGUUAACCUAUGUAGGAUAUUAAGCAGCAUAGUAGCAAGAGCUUGGUGGCGCAAGCCACCGCCCCGUUCCAAAGGGGACGCUCAUAACAUCCAUCCAUCCAUUUGGUCGACACACCACGUUGGAUGUAGUGAAUGAUCUUUGCAGUAAGGUGGUAUUUGAGUUAUAUUUUAGAAGUGCCUAGACAAAAUGUGCUCCUUGUCGUGUGCAGUUAACCAUCCCAAACCCUUCGGAUUCGUGUAACGCCAUUAGUUCGCCGUGUGUUUCGAGCGAUCCACCAGUGUCGACAGUGAGUGCCCUAGUACAGCGCCCGUCCGAGCUGCCUUUGUUCUGCCGAGCUGCCUGCCCGCGCUCUCGUGAAAACGUCUGGUACUGGGGCUUCGAAUCGUAGUGUAUGGAACACUGUUGAAGGUUGUGCUUUUGUGGAGCUGGAGUUCAUCGGAAGCUCUACAGUGCUUGCGCCAGAAAAACCUCGGUGCCUCUGUACCUGUUUGACGAAGGAGCGUUUGCCAAAUCUUGAAAGGUAGACAUCGGUGACGGUGUAUAUGUUGAAAAGGGCCUGCUGAAGAGGCUGUGCCUGGAUGCUAACAACUCAGGCUUUCACUUCGCGGAGGGCCUCCUUAAAACUCCUUUUUCAAUAGAAGACGUUGAAGGGAGGUCCUUCUUUGGGCGGCUGUCAAAUGCCUUCCACAGAAGGAUCCGUUGGAUUCCAAGAAGGUCAACACCAUACUAGACUACACAACGCAACAUUUCAGCCUACUUCCAGGGCAGCUGGAGAACUUGUCCUCAUUACUAGCCCGGGGAUAUUAAAUGGAUGUGUUCAAGCACAAAUUUAAACCUGUCGUCUUCUGUUGCAUGCCACACCUAGCCACUUGGCGACCACUAUAUGCCACAGACAGAUAGUUGACAGGAUGUUACUAGCAAGUCGUUAGGAUAUAUAAAGGUGGUUAAUAAAUAGUCGCUGCACAGUUUUUAGGAAGCAAAUAAAAAUUUUAUUCAGAGAUAAUCAAACCUUACUUUUGCAAUAUAUAAUUGCAAAAGUAAUUACCUC